rnacentral:rRNA from 1 species
GUGUAAUUUGUGAGGCAUCUCCGGGUAGGGCGCCGGCCUAAGUUCCUUGGAACAGGACGUCACAGAGGGUGAGAAUCCCGUGCUUGGCUGGCUGUCCCCGUCCAUGUGAGGUGUCUUCGACGAGUCGAGUUGUUUGGGAAUGCAGCUCAAAAUGGGUGGUAAAUUUCAUCUAAAGCUAAAUAUUGGUGGGAGACCGAUAGCGCACAAGUAGAGUGAUCGAAAGAUGAAAAGCACUUUGAAAAUAGAGUUAAAAAGUACGUGAAAUUGUUGAAAGGGAAGCGCUUGAGACCAGACUUCGGUAAGGGGUGAUCAGCCGUCCUUCUGGGCGGUGCACUUGCCCCCCUCCGGGCCAGCAUCGGUUGAGGCGGCGGGAUAAAGGUCCCGGGAAUGUGGCUCCUUCACGGGAGUGUUAUAGCCCGGGUGAAUGCCGCCAGCUUCGACCGAGGACCGCACCCGCAAGGGUUAGGAUGCUUGGCAUAAUGGUCUUCAGCGACCCGUCUUGAAACACGGACCAAGGAGUCUAACAUCUAUGCGAGUGUUUGGGUGUCAAACCCUUGCGCGAAAUGAAAGUGAACGGAGGUGGGAACCCGCAAGGGCGCACCAUCGACCGGUCCCGAAGUCUUCUGAAGGAUCUGAGUAGGAGCAUAGCUGUUGGGACCCGAAAGAUGGUGAACUAUGCCUGAAUAGGGUGAAGCCAGAGGAAACUCUGGUGGAGGCUCGCAGCGGUUCUGACGUGCAAAUCGAUCGUCAAAUUUGGGUAUAGGGGCGAAAGAC